rnacentral:piRNA from 1 species
UAAAAUCCAUUAUUGUUUCUU